GAUGAACGCUGGCGGCGUGCCUAAUACAUGCAAGUCGAGCGAACAGACGAGGAGCUUGCUCCUCUGAUGUUAGCGGCGGACGGGUGAGUAACAUGUGGAUAACCUACCUAUAAGACUGGGAUAACUUCGGGAAACCGGAGCUAAUACCGGAUAACAUGUUGAACCGCAUGGUUCAACAGUGAAAGACGGUCUUGCUGUCACUUAUAGAUGGAUCCGCGCCGCAUUAGCUAGUUGGUAAGGUAACGGCUUACCAAGGCAACGAUGCGUAGCCGACCUGAGAGGGUGAUCGGCCACACUGGAACUGAGACACGGUCCAGACUCCUACGGGAGGCAGCAGUAGGGAAUCUUCCGCAAAGGGCGAAAGCCUGACGGAGCAACGCCGCGUGAGUGAAGAAGGUCUUCGGAUCGUAAAACUCUGUUAUUAGGGAAGAACAAAUGUGUAAGUAACUAUGCACGUCUUGACGGUACCUAAUCAGAAAGCCACGGCUAACUACGUG
rnacentral:rRNA from 1 species